rnacentral:lncRNA from 9 species
ACCUUAAGCGGGAUGCGAAUGGGGCAGGGCGAGCGCACGUGGAGCGUGUUUACAAAUAGCCGUCAGGGCGUCCGCGUCUUCCAGCGCCGACUCCCGGGAAUCCCCAGCCCACCGGCCGGGACAGGACGAGCCGGAGCAAGGGUCAGGAACCACGCUGGGGGCGGUCAAAUUGAGUUUGGGGUUUCUUUUCCCUGGUGGGAUGAGGUUGCAAGUCACAGUUUCUGUAGAAGCGACUCUGUAAAGCUGGCUGUACCUGGGAGACGCAAGAGCCUGUGAGAGGUUCUCUUGCCGCCCCUCCACGCCCUCUGCUUCUAGGUAGUAGUAAGGGAAUUGCAGUUUGACAAAGCCCCUUGAUUUCAAGCCAAGGUACAGUACGUUUCUAUUUUGGCAUUUUCACUGGAGCAAAUGGAGGCACCUGUGCACUAAUAAUCGCUGCGAUGAACGUGCCUUCUCCGCGUUCACGGACUCGCUUCCCUGCAGGACCCUCGGAGACUUCCCUGGGGAAGGGAGCGGCUGCACCUUCAUCCUGCAGCACCUGUUUACCCAGGAAACGCUUUUAGUCUAUUUCUUUUGUGUGUGUGUGUAUACUUUGAAAAAAAACGGAAGUCUUCAGUUAAGUUUCUCUGCUAUCUGAACAUAAAUGUCUAACCUUUUUCGUUAACAUGAAACGAAAAGCCCACAUUGUUGCUAGGAUGUUUCCAAUCAUUCUUACUGCAGAAAAGAUGUUGAUUUUACGGUUUCCAUCUGACUUCCUCGCCCAGGCUGCUCAAUUGCCUUCCUCAAAAUCGCUGCUUUCUCCCAUGUGACGUGAUGAAAUCUCCUAGUUAACAUGAUGAAAUCACAGAUGUUUUGGACAAAUGUCUGAUUUACCCGCAGGUAGAUCUUUUCGUUCUUGGUUGACUAUUUUGGAUCAAGUUCAACUUUGUGCUAGUUUUAUAUCACUUUUAGUAGUUUGCCUCUUUUCUCCGAUAGUUGUAAUAAGCGUGAAAACAAUUGUAUCUGACUUAGGAAACGCUAUUCAUUCCUCAGAAGGGAAGAGAGCUGACAUUUACUGACUGCCAAUCAAAAGACACAGGGUGUAGCUAGAAGUUAGCUGCCAGGUUUACCCCCUCAGCCGCCAGCCUACCAGGGUCCCUCAGGUCCCAUGAUAUCUAAAUAAAAUGAACUCUGCCUCUUAUCUCUCUCCCCCACUAUCUCUGGGGUUUAAUUUCCAUCCAGACACCACUUGUUUCAUUUCUCCGUUUCUGCUGAUUGCUCCAGCUUGUCGGGUGUCUUAUCUCUUAUAACUGCUCUUUUUUCAUCACCUGGUGUAAGUUGACAUCUGGAACCCAGCCCACAUUUCCUGAUUUUCUCAAAACAUCACUUCCAAGGAGGCACUUGUAUUUAGCAGACUCUUCAUAAGACUUUACCCAAGACACAAGAUCAUUUCAUCAAAUCGACCUUGUUGAGGGAGAAGGGUUGCUAAUUGUAGCAGAUUUACAUUGGAGUUGGGGGCGGGGUUAGAAUGGCUCAGCCUUAUUUUAUGAAGAGCCUUGCUGCCCACAGGCAACUUCUUAUUGCCAGUUCUUUGGGUCCCAGCCUUGCUCCAUCUCACUGUGCCAUCCUCCCCAUCCUCUCUCCAGAGUUUUUCUGUCUUGGGAUCCCCCCUCUUUCCUUCCUUCUCAGCUGCUCGGGAAAUCUUAAGAUUCUUUCCCCCUUUAUUAUGCAGAGCAAUUUCUGUAUCUUUUUCCCAACUGUCUGUUCCGAUUCCCAUGGUCUAGUCUCAAAAGACAUUUUAUUUCCCUCCUUGUGGAAUUCUGCCACAGUAUUUCUUUCCUUCUGCAUGUAUGUAAUCUUUCUUAAUCCUUCUAAUAGUACUACGAAGUUGAUGUUACCUCUAUCUCACAUACAAGGAUUGAUUCUGCAGAAUUAAAUUUGCCAUUUAUUAACAUGGAAUUUUUGGCAUUAGCCUACCAAAAAGGCAUUCUAGGUGUGAGAGCACUAUUUUUAAGUCUGCAACCGUGUUGAUCAGACAUAGUGUUGGUUUAUUGGAAUGUGGGUUUUCUGAAAACUACUCCAAAUCACCUUAAAGUGGCAUAUGUGUCUCAUCAUCAUAAGCUCUAAAUUUCCUAUUCUGCUGAGAUACUCUCCAUGCGAAUACAUUAUGUGAUUUCAUUUUCAGUGGUAUUCUUUAUGCAUAAUAGUUUUGUAAUAGAAUAGGAAAACUCUAAAUACUUAAUUUUAAAGGAAUCACUUUUUUGCUUUGGGGUUCCAUUUAGUUUAUCAUUGACCCUCAUUUACUUGGAGAUUUUUAUUUGAUACCUAAUUGGCUAGUCCAGUAAGCUUAGGAUGAGGACAUAAUAACAUUCUACUGAUUAAACUGAUUUAAUAUCAAAUAGUGUUUCUCUGUUAAUAAUUGGAAAUUUUACUGCCAUUGGAAAAAUCGGUGGUUUUCACACACACAAAAAAAAUGUACUGCUGCCUAUCUGAAGGGGCAUAAAACAUUGAGGGGAACUUGCAGCUAAAAUGUAAUUGUGGGGUGGUGUGUGUUUUAGGACGAACCCGAUGCACAACAGCUGUCGUGGUAAGAUGAAAGUUUAUACUUGGAAGUCUUUUUUAGCUAAGUCAUUUUACCUUGUGCUAUAGACAAAAAGUAUUCAUUUUUAAUGUAAGAGUUUUUCUUUUAAAUGGUUAAAGGUGGGAACGCUUUUCUGCUUACAUUUCUGGGCACAAGAGAAAUCAGAUUGCUUGUUGGAAAGUCCCAUUUAAAAAAAAAAUUUUAAAAGGUUAACACGAUGUUGAAAGAUAAUAAUGACUUACACUGUUGUGUCAUAUAGAUGCUCAGUGGGGGAUUUUAAACUUAAUUGAGCUUUCUAUAUUUCUUCGUUGGCUGGAGGUGGGCUUUCAGCUGUCUGGCAGCAUAAACAAAGAGAAUAAGGACCUGGGAGGGUGGAAAAGAUUUAAUAGGGUUGGAAGAAGGCAAAUUACCAGCGGGAAUGUUUGAGGAAGAGUUAGACUUCGUGUCUGAAAAACCUGUUGGUUUCAAUGGACGAAACUAAUGAAUUGCUGAUUGGUGUCAGCAGUGUGGGUGGGAAACGUGCAUGAGAUUUAUAUGCUACCCAUCUUUCCUUUCCAGACCUGCUGAGUUUGCAGCCCUUCUCUGAAGGAGCCUGCAGUUCCAUCAGCUGAGUCAACUCAGGUUUACUGAGAGCUCCAGCAUGCUCCCUGUUCCCAGCACUCAAAGCUUCAUGGUUUCAGGCUCCUUGUAUUUCUCCUUUCGCCUCAAAGUUUCUCCCCUUCCUCUGUUAUAGCCUUUAAGUUCUAGGUUGUCCUAAAAGUUAUGUUUUUCUUUUUUAUUUUUUUUUCCCCCCUGGCUGUCCCAUGGGCUAUGGAGUUUCCAGGCCAGGGAUCAGCUUUAAGCCACAGCUGUGACAACACCAGAUCAAAGUUGUGUUUUUCAAGGUUCCUCAGACAUUACGGGUGAGAAUCACCGGGGGUCCAAACUCGACUGUCCAGGGAUGAAGCCCAGGAGUCCUUACGUUCAUGGAGCCUCCCAUGAAAGUGAUUCUAACAUGUGGAAGACUGAAAACCUUAGGUACUGACAACCCUAAAUAAUUUAGGUGCGGCCCUACAUAAAUAAAUAAAAAGAAAAAAAAAAAA